UUAUGUAUUUCAGGCUUGCCUUAAAUUCACAGUAAUCCUCCCACCUUAGCCUCUCAAGUGCUGGGAUUUCAGGCCUGCACCACUAGCAAAAUAGUCCUUUUUGCGGGGAGGCCCCUGGCAAAAUAGCCCUUUUCUGAGGGAGACCACAUCAGUUUCAUCAAAUUCUCACAAAUGCCCUUGAUCAGAAAAUGAUGAUGGUCCUCAGGGAAUGACAGAUCUACCCCCUGACACCAGAAAUAAAGCAGUAAUCCAAGUCUGCAAUAGGCUGUCUAUCUGCCCUAACAUUCUGCCUCUAAGAUGUGGGAAUGCAGGGAAUGUAUACGCUCAGUCACACACAUGCACACAGAUACAGGUUCAUGGCCACAUGUGUUUAUACAUGGGACUGGGCACCAGCUGUGAGGAGGGUGGUCUGUAUUUCUCUGUAUUUCCCUGCUCUCUAUGUGUUACUUCUAUACCCUGUAGGCCCUGGCCAGGUCUGGCCAUCUGAGCUAUGUUAGGUACUCACUUUGUGCUGGGAACUAUACAUCCUGUGUGGGGAGCCUGCACCGAUCAAGGUCACACCUACAAAAGGCAGAGCUGCCCUGUGCUGGCCCACACCUUGCCCUAUUCAGCUGGGUCUGAGCAGCUCAGGGACCAAGAGAUUUCCCCCAACUGACUGUAUACCAAGGAUUGGCUGAAGCCAUGUGUGUUCAUGACAACAGCCCAAGGUUAGCCUUAGUGUUGAGGGGGCUGUACCUGGGCUGUGGAGGAGAAGGUAGAAGUAAGGGUAGACUGUUACUGCUGCUAUAGCUGGGUAUGAUGAGUUCCUUAGGUAUAAGCAGUAGAAACUUGGGAAGAGUUGACAUUGUCCAAUCUGAGAUGAGAUAACCAGGGCCAGGAAGGGCCAUACCCAUUGUGGGAUGGGGUGGCUGUGAGGCAGCUUGUGACCCAGUUGGAAUCCUGUGCCCAAAUUCUCACCUUGCUGGUCUCACCUACCUGUUGAACCCUGCUCAGGUGCUCAGUGGCUGGAUGGUGGUGGGAAGAGCAGGCAGCUCCUACUGGGUUACCUGGGUACCGUGGCUCCUGCUUAGCCUGCCACUGCCAGGCUCACACCCAUGUUCUUUGUUGGCCUCCCUUCACCUGUACCAUCACCACACCUACUGACAACUGUAGCUUUCCACUGGUUCCAGAUGGGGCUAAGCUGUGUGGACUCCUAGGCUUUCUUCAGUCCCUCAACCAUCCUCACUUGAGGCCUGGGCCUAUAACAUUCCAGCUUCCUCUAACAUGGCACACCCCAGCAUCCUCAAGCUCACCCCAUGUCCCAGAAUGGUCUCUUCUCCCUGACCACACCAUCAACUGACCCUGGGCAGCAUCUUUAUCCAUGCAUCACUCUUGGACUGGACUGUCUGCUGGUGGCUUCCAGCAUAGCAAGGGGAGUCACUUCGAGGCUAGGGCUCCAUCUUGUGAAGGGGAAGCUCAGACUGGGACCAGGGUGAUAAUGAGGAAAUCUAGAGCCAAGUCCAGAGGGCUACUCAGGCAGCCUGAGCCCGGUGGCUCUGAGAUCAGCCAUAGCUCCAAACCGCCUGUGGCUGGGCUCAUCCCAAGCCUAGUUCUGUGCGACCAGCCCACCUCUCAGGCUGCUUCCCUGGAUAUGAAAACCUCCUGGACCUAUGGAGAUUCACCCCAGUCCCUCUGGCCUUGGUAGGGACUUCAGUGGCUGCUUGGCCCCCCAGGGCCAGCUGCAGCUCUAACCCCUUCCCAGGAGCCUGAGUGUCACACCUCAGCCCUGAGCUCUGCUGUAUUCUCUGCAGCUAUGAUCCAGGGCCUGGGCCAGGAGGUAGCCUAGAGGAGGGAUAUGGGUUUCCAGGGCUCUCUCAAGGUCUUCAGAGGGCCCUUGACCUGGCAGUGUUGCUCCUGGGGACAUUGGACAGCCCAGGCUGCUCCUGGCUGUGACGGAGAUGGCUUCAAGGGUGCUGAUAUCCUUAAAUGCCCAGGAUGGUCAGUCCAUGGAGGGGGACACAUCUGCUCUUGCCUCAUUGAGGACUGAGGGUGGAGAGGCGUUAUUUGUGCGCAAGAGGGCGCUGCAUCCAAGGGGAGAGCAGGUGCAAAGUCAGAUGUGUUACAGAAUGUGGACUGGGUUCCCAGAAUUCUGCCAGUACACAAGGUCCUUAGGAAGCUGGGCCUUCCCAGGCCCUUAGAUGGCUAUCCAGGGGGAAAUCCUCAGAGCAGAUCCAUGUGUUCAACAGGCAGUGGCCGGAGUGAGUGGUGUAGUUUGUGAGCAGAGAUGAAGCUGCAGGCAUUUUGCCAUCUGAGCCAAUCGGCGGCGGGAACCCGAGCUGCAGCCUAGAGUCACGCUUCUGCCUCCCAGCCACACAGUGGCCAAGAGCAGGGACCGGCUUCCUGGAGUGGCUGAAAGUGCUCCGACGGACGGCCAAGCCCAUCAUGGCGGACAGCGGGAUGGUGGGGCGCGAGCAGGCACACGGAGCCAGGCAGGUGAGGGCAGAGGCCUGGAGAAGACAGAGGCUGGAGGGUCCUGUUCUGGUCCCAGAACUUGGGGACACCCACCACCCUGGGCCAGGAGAAGGAUGGACAUGGACUUGACCCCAAGAGCCUGGCCUGGCCAUGGCAGCAGCUCUGCAGAACCAA